rnacentral:rRNA from 1 species
GACGAACGCUGGCGGCGUGCUUAACACAUGCAAGUCGAACGGAAAGGCCUGCUUUCCCUUGUGGAUUGCGGGUACUCGAGUGGCGAACGGGUGAGUAACACGUGAGUGAUCUGCCCCCAACUUGCGUAUAAGCCUGGGUAACUGGGUCUAAUUCCCGCUAUGACUGCAGGUUGUUGCCUGUGGUGGAAAACGAUUUUCUCGCGGUUGGGGAUGAGCUCGCGGCCUAUCAGCUUGUUGGUGGGGUAAUGGCCUACCAAGGGGGCGACGGGUAGCCGGCCUGGGAGGGUGGACGGCCACAUUGGGACUGAGAUACGGCCCAGACUCCUACGGGAGGCAGCAGUGGGGAAUAUUGCACAAUGGGCGGAAGCCUGAUGCAGCGACGCCGUGUGGGGGAUGACGGCCUUCGGGUUGUAAACUCCUUUCGACCGCGAGGAAGCCACCUGGUUGGAAGGGUGGUGACGGUAGUGGUAGAAGAAGCACCGGCUAACUACGUG